GCCGGAGGGCGCAAUCGUUGUUCGGAAUUACUGGGCGUAAAGCGCGGGCAGGUGGUCUGUUAAGUCGUUUGUGAAAAUCCGGGGCUCAACCCCGUGAAAUGCGUACGAUACUGGCAGGCUGGAGAUCGGUAGAGGCUAGCGGAAUUCCUGGUGUAGCGGUGGAAUGCGUAGAUAUCAGGAAGAACACCUGUGGCGAAGGCGGCUAGCUGGGCCGAGUCUGACACUCAUCCGCGAAAGCGUGGGGAGAAAACAGG
rnacentral:rRNA from 1 species